CCUACGGGAGGCAGCAGUGGGGAAUCUUGCGCAAUGGGCGAAAGCCUGACGCAGCAACGCCGCGUGCGGGAUGAAGGCCUUCGGGUUGUAAACCGCUUUCAGCAGGGAAGAAAUUGACGGUACCUGCAGAAGAAGCCCCGGCCAACUACGUGCCAGCAGCCGCGGUAACACGUAGGGGGCGAGCGUUGUCCGGAUUUAUUGGGCGUAAAGAGCUCGUAGGCGGUUCGGUAAGUCGGGUGUGAAACCUCCAGGCUCAACCUGGAGACGCCACCUGAAACUGCUGUGACUAGAGUCCGGUAGGGGAGUGUGGAACUCCUGGUGUAGCGGUGAAAUGCGCAGAUAUCAGGAAGAACACCAGCGGCGAAGGCGGCACUCUGGGCCGGUACUGACGCUGAGGAGCGAAAGCGUGGGUAGCAAACAGGAUUAGAUACCCUGGUAGUCCACGCCGUAAACGUUGGGCACUAGGUGUGGGUCUCAACCAACGAGAUCCGUGCCGCAGCUAACGACAUUAAGUCGCCCCGCCCGUCGGGGUAGGUACGGGCCGGCCGAACGGACGUAAAACCUAACCAAAUAGAAUUAGACGG
rnacentral:rRNA from 1 species